rnacentral:lncRNA from 1 species
UGACAUUCAGUGAAGUACCAGGUUCAAAUAAUUAGAAGAUUUUAAUUCAGGAUGAAGGGAAUAGGACAACUUCAUAUUUGGGGCUCCUGGAAGAUCAGAUGUGAAUACAGAUAUUAGAUCUGGAUCCGUGUGUACCGUGGGUCCCAUGGAGCAACCUCCAUAGUCAUUUCUCAGGCUCCUAAAUCAGGAGCUUCAAAGGUAACUCCUGGGGUGAUUUUUAGUGACUUUCCAUCAGUGUGGGUGUAAUUGGCAUUGUCAAUUUUCCACUGGCUUCUUUGUAUAGUCUUCUGGUUUCCGGGUAUCCACUGGACUUGAGCUGACCCUAGACUGAUCUCAUGGCAUCUUUGGGGGACCUGAAUCAACAGCUUCCAGCUCAGAACAGGAAUCUGAAACAUAGCACCUACCUCUGAAGACACUAAACAAAAUGCACAAAAUGUCUAUUUGGACCAGAAGGAGCAUUUGAGACUGUCAGUGGCUGUCUUAAAGGGUUCAGAGAACUGAUGUGAUUCCCUCCUCUGCUAUAUUUCUGGAAAAGCAGUUCACCGACCAACUCUAACCAGAGGAAACUUGGGCUGACACUGAACAUUCACUUCGUGCUUUCCCAAAGCCUAAGGGAGCUUUGUGGAAGGGAGG